GAAAAUAUCAUUUCCCUCAUCUCCAUUCCCUGAGGAAGCAUCUGGAAAAGAAAAGAAUGGAAAUAUGUCGUCCACAGUUUCACACUCCUGGCUUUUAAGUCCUUCUCUGAAGUUGAAAGAUGAGUACUCUUUUAAUGGCUUUGGUUUCUGUUCAGGUUGUUCUAAUUGACAACCAUCCUUGCCUUGCUUCGAACACUUGGCAUUUAUCAGGGAUGCUGAGGCUACGGCUAAACGAGAGGCUUUGAAACAUGUAUGUCUUCCUCGAUAGGUGAUUUCAAAAAUUGUAGGGUCCUGAUCUGAUCUUUGAACUUGUUUCGUGGCCAAACAACCUUGUGAGUGACGGUGAG
rnacentral:misc_RNA from 1 species